ensembl:lncRNA novel transcript
CUACUAACAUGUGGAUGCCGCCACUCCACAACUUGCUUAAAAGCCACACUGUGUUUCCUGGACAAUGGCCGCAGGCCAAAACACACACAUUCCAGUUUUUACGACUAUAAGAUCUCCAGUUGCUCCUGGUAACAUCAAAUGAAGACAGAAAUUCUUGUAUUGCCCAUGCGAGAUUCCCCAAGUCCCUCAUCCUACAGACCCAAGAAGGAAGCAUGUGAAGAGAGCGAAGCUAAACGUUGAAGGUCCUGGUUGGAGUUGGUGGUCAACUCCACUGUUGCUUGGAUCACUAGGCAUUAAAGGGUUCUGAGGCUGCA